rnacentral:rRNA from 1 species
CAGCCGCCGCGGUAAUACGUAGGGUGCAAGCGUUAUCCGGAAUUAUUGGGCGUAAAGAGCUCGUAGGCGGUUUGUCGCGUCUGCUGUGAAAACUGGAGGCUCAACCUCCAGCCUGCAGUGGGUACGGGCAGACUAGAGUGCGGUAGGGGAGAUUGGAAUUCCUGGUGUAGCGGUGGAAUGCGCAGAUAUCAGGAGGAACACCGAUGGCGAAGGCAGAUCUCUGGGCCGUAACUGACGCUGAGGAGCGAAAGCAUGGGGAGCGAACAGGAUUAGAUACCCCUGUAGUCCCUGUCUCUUAUAC